GACGAACGCUGGCGGCGUGCUUAACACAUGCAAGUCGAACGGAAAGGCCCUGCUUGCAGGGUACUCGAGUGGCGAACGGGUGAGUAACACGUGGGUGAUCUGCCCUUCACUUCGGGAUAAGCCUGGGAAACUGGGUCUAAUACCGGAUAGGAGCCAUUUUUAGUGUGAUGGUUGGAAAGUUUUUUCGGUGUAGGAUGAGCUCGCGGCCUAUCAGCUUGUUGGUGGGGUAAUGGCCUACCAAGGCGGCGACGGGUAGCCGGCCUGAGAGGGUGGACGGCCACAUUGGGACUGAGAUACGGCCCAGACGCCUACGGGAGGCAGCAGUGGGGAAUAUUGCACAAUGGGCGCAAGCCGGAUGCAGCGACGCCGCGUGGGGGAUGACGGCCUUCGGGUUGUAAACUCCUUUCGCUAGGGACGAAGCUUUUUGUGACGGUACCUAGAUAAGAAGCACCGGCUAACUACGUG
rnacentral:rRNA from 1 species